rnacentral:piRNA from 1 species
UACUGCGUGCAUUGCGAUGAGGAAACCUCA